UGUUUUUGGACUCAACAAAAAUAAUUUACUCCAUUUGUUAAAGACUAUCUUACUCCUUAAUUAAAAGCUUAAUUAGCUCAUCAUCAUCCCUUAUAUACACCAGGUACCAAGAGUGAAUUUAUCUCUUAGUUGCUUUUCAACAUAAUGCUUGUGGACUCUGUUUAUACUCUUAAUGGUGCAGGCGAGGUGCCUGUGUAUGAAGAGUUUUGAUAUUUAAAUUUGAACAGACAUGUCACGGGUGUAGCAUAAUAGCAUAUAUUGAAAAGGUCUUCAAAUAAGCAAUUCCACCUUGCCGUCAAAACGUUUUACUUAUAAAUGGAUAGUAAUUUUAUCUACCCUUUUAGCUGACAUGUCACAGGUGUAGUAUGGGGCAAAAAGGCUUUAUAAGUAAAUGGAUGGUAAUUUAAUCUACCCUUUAGCAAAUUUGGAUAUCUGAAUUAAUCGAUAAUAGUUCACAGGUGAUACUUUCUCUUUAGCCAACACAAUAGUUAUCAGGGUUAGAUAUGACUUCAGUGACUGGCACAGGAUUUAGGCAUUGAUUGACAAUUUGACAUUGCUUUAUGGUAUUACACCCUGAGUCCCUGAGAAAUGAAAACCAUAGGUGAAAUAAGUCUAUCACAGUCCCACAUCUGCUGAGUCAACUAUACAAAGAUGAAGGGACUGACUAUAUAAACAGCGGCCCAAUAAAAGAAUAAG
rnacentral:lncRNA from 1 species